UUCGUUCGUGUCGCAGCAGCAGCAGCAGUAGCAGUCGCAGCAGCAGCAGCGAGUGUGCCGUUAUUCCGUUCGUUACAUAAAGAAGAGAUUCCAAAUAGCAAGUUUAAGUGCGCUGCUCGGUUGCGGAUGGCAUAAAUCAUUCGGCGAAGGCAGCAUUGUGAUAAACAUUAAAAAAGCGCCGUUAAAAAACGAAAGGAGCGACCAGCGCGACCCACUAAAAAAUAUAGAAAACCCAAUCGGAAUCGAAUGAAGAGAAAAGAAAACCCCAGGACACACGUACUGUUCAAUAUCCAAUAAGAAACCAAGCAUAAUUACAUAAUCAAAUAGAGCGACUGGCAAAAAAAAAUAAAUAAAAAAAAAGGACAAAAAGACAAGUGACAAACAGGAAUAAAUAAAAUCACGAGCGACAAAAGCGGAAACCAAGAAAGCAAACUCGAAACACGGAAAAUCAACGCAAAGUGCAGAAUUAUUUAAUCAACGCCAGCCAGUCGAAAUCCCUGGAAACGCCUAUAAAUAAAAAGGACACGCGAUAAACCAAAAAUAGAACGUAAUGAUUAAACCAAAACCAAAGUACCUGCAACAAUGAAAUUGAGCAAAUCUUAAAAGCAUAACCCAAAAAGCAAACCCAAAACUAGAGAUUACUUUUAAAAAUAUACAAAGGACACUCGCUAUAUACAAAAACAGUGCUAUAGAUAAAACGAUAAACGCUAUUCGCAAAUAAAAAAAAAAAAAGAAAAAAAAACGUAGUUCGUUGCCGUUUGUUCACCGCUGGAAGUUACCGAUACAGCCCAAGGAUAUAGAGCGUAAUCCCCGUUGAGAUAAAGAUAGAGUAAUGGAACUAACCUCGUAGUUUGUAGGGAGACAAGCGUCUCUGCCCCUAGGACAGCAAAAAGAAAAUUCAGAAAUAACCGCAACAUAAACGCACUUAACGACUAACUAAAACUACCAAGUAGUUGCCUCUCUAUAUACAACAUAUAUAAUAUAUACACCUACGAGAUAUAUACAAGAAUACUUAGCCGUAGCGACUAGAUAAACGCCAGUCUGUAUAUCUACCUAUAUGGAUUUAUUUUUAUAACGCUAAACGCUAAAGCAAAACUAGAUCCCAUACACCCGACCUCGACCUCUAGGCCCUUUCAAAUUGCAUCUGAAUAAGUAACGAGGGCGAUUAAUGCAUUAAUUGGGUGGCGAAGGACGUGGCCACACGGAGUCCCGAGGAGGGAUCCGGAUCCUUUGCGUGUUUCUCCUGCAAGGAUACAAAACACACCCAGUUCCCCAGGACACAAACGUACAGGACGAAAUUAAGCUACCUGCUUUGGGUUUCCCGUGUUGCGCUGCCUUUGACGUAACUCCGCCUUAACUCGCGUCGCUUCCAUUUGCCACAAAAGUAAAAAAGUGAAA